UGCCCAUUCCGCGGACCAGGUGCAAGGUGGAGCGGCAGCGCGCGGAGGAAAGUAGCAGCUAGGGAGUGGAACCAGCGGGACAGCCGCCUUCACACGCUCGCCAUCGCCCGUCCCUGGCGCUCCUCGGCCUCCUCGCUCGGCGAGGGAUUCAUCUGCACGCCACCUAUAAACUCCCGUGAGCCUUCCCGGUGAGCUGGCCGACUGGUCUCUAUUGUUUGUGAGCUCAGCUACCUGGCGGAGAAGCUCGCGACCCCUCCUCGCCAAAACCAGACCAGCCGCCGACCUCGCGCCAUCAGCUCACUCCGUUCCUUCCACUCUACAACGUGGUUUCACUGCUUGGUCUUGCUUCCAUGCUAACUGCAUUUUUUUUGUUUAGUUGAAUUUGGAGAUGGUGGCCUACGAAGGACGAUGACAUGAUCGUUGCAGGUUUGGUCCUCCCCGUGUGCACACCAAGUGUUUGAUAGAUUGCAAUUCUCCAUUCAGCUUGGUGGUACUUGCUCUUCCAGCUGGUUUCAUGGUCUUCCACCUGAUCCUAUGUGCCUAUCUUGAAUCUUCAUAGUUGAGCUCAAGGAGACAGUAAGGGCCUUGACUGAUAGCAAGGGCCGUGGUGGUUAAAAGCUCUCCAUGAGAUGCUUUUGCAGCUGAUAUUUAUAUUGAAGAUCAUUGGCCCUCCCAAAGUUGAGAAAUUGUCCAUCCCUGGAUGCCAGCACUAGAUUUGUGGUAAUCCGGACAUGUAGAUUUGGAUUUGGCCAACUUGAGGUUUCUUUCAAGAAAGAAGUCUACCGGCAUGUUACUUUCUCUCUCCUACAAUAGUAACUACAAAUGUGAUUGGCAGCAAGGCAGAUUAUGUGUGAUUGUCUCAUGCUUACCAGGUUUGGACAUGUAAGCAAUAAUAUUACAUUUCAUACAAUGGAGGCGUGGUGGAUCUCAAACAGAGGAGAAAGGGGCUAAGGAAAGGUCCACACAUUAUUUCUUCCUGAAAUUUUCCAUGAUAGAGCUCCUAAGAGUUAAAUAUAGCCUGCUAACAAGAAGGGGAUCUUAGAUUUAUCUCAUCAGUGGAUUUUAGGUGUCAAUGAGGACUUCGUUUUGGCAGCAUAAACCUGGACCAAGGCAAGGGUGAUAUCGUCGUCAUUGGAGGAAAUGGAUGUCAAUAGAGGAUGGCAUGAGGAUGGUGAGGAGCAGUGGUGAUCACUGGGCGAUAUGCAUGAUUGCACUGCCAAGGGCUGGAAAUUCACUUGUGAUGGUCCGCUCUCGAUCAGAAGCAAAAGAUGCAGGAAAAAGCUUCUAAUGAGUCUAAUCCGAUCUUUGAUAUUGGCGAUUGCAAAUGUUUGGUGUUGCCAUUGCCCUGGUCCCUCUCUCUCCGCCAAUCUUUAGAGCUAGAGUGCCAUGUGAGGAUGCAAGCAAAGAAGCCCUAGCACCAUUGAAGGCAAGAGGAUAUAAGGUGUUGGUCAUGCUUACCCCUAAGCAAACUGCGGAGUUCAACCUGUUUCAGCUGGCAGGGAACAUGAUCUGUGCCCUCGACGUGGCUGUGCUGGUACCAGGUGAUGAUUUCGAUUUCAAAAUGGCCAAGUGGUUUCCGGCUGAUGAAAAAGUAUUUAGUCCAAACUGCCGAUCAAAUAAGCUCCAGCAUAAAACUGUGCCAGAAUUUUGCAAUGCAGAUUUUUGGUAUGCUGAGAACAUCAAUUGUCUGUGGACUGUCACUAGCUAGGCUACCUCAUGGGGGCAGUGUGGGGUUUCCUCAUGCUCAAAAUGUCAGAGGGUAGCAAAUUCAUAUGGAUCUAAAUAUAGAUGCCCAGGAGGUUGUUUGUGAACCAUUGCAGUUCGAAAGUAAUAUUACAGAUGCCCUUAUAUACAGAAACUUAAGUUUUUUAUGUACAGUAUAUUAGAGCUGAUAUAUGUGGAUGUGUGAUGAGUUUUCUUUCACCUUUUUAAAAGGUAUCGUCUCUGCUUGUUUGGUACGGAUAGGACUGCAGUGCCGAGUUCAUUCUUUUUGGUCCAGUAGUUCUGAAAUUAGUAGGCAAAUAUGUUAUGUUUUUAUGAGUGAUCAUAAUCUGCGUGAAAUCACCGCUAUAUAAUCCCACAAAAGUUCACUUUUAGAGUUUCUGUUAGCCAAAAGUCUUAUGCAGGGGCGAAUUUCAUUUAGAGUCAAUGGAAUUGACUUUUCCUGGAACGAGCAGUUUCUGUUCAUAGUAUAGAUGAAGUUGAACUUUCAGAGCCCCUUCAUCUCAUAGUUCACUGCCCUAUGCUCUACAUAUGCUCUACCACGCAUUUCUGUUCAUGGAAAAGCAUAAAAAUGUGGUUCAUAAAAAGGAAAGUACUGAUUGGCGAUCCUUUGAACGUAUUGUAAGUUUAUAUAUAGUGAUGCUUCUAUUACCUUUGCAGAUGGUGUGUUUGUACACUAAGUAUUUCUAGAAUAGUGCUACUGUGAUUGUUACAGAAUCUUAGUUUGUACACCAAAAAGGAGGUAUUAUUUCAUUUAUGUACCUUCUUUGCGUAUUACGCCAAAAUAUUGGUCCAUGUAGACAGAGUACAUAUUCAUUUGAAGCUAACGACGUUAUAAUUGUAUAUUGUAGGCCUGCAUUGGCUGUUCCUGCAACAGAUUCAUCAUCAAGCCACAAGGAAAUGUCUGCUGUAAAAAAUGAGCAACUAACUAUUUUCUCCAUAGCUGCAGAUGCUUUUGAUU